rnacentral:hammerhead_ribozyme from 1 species
AUCCAACUGACGAGUCCUAAAUAGGACGAAGAACGCGCGUCCUGUAU